rnacentral:rRNA from 1 species
AGCGAACGUUAGCGGCGGGCCUAACACAUGCAAGUCGAGCGAGAAAGGGGCUUCGGCCCUGAGUAAAGCGGCGGACGGGUGAGUAACACGUAGGUAAUCUUCCCUUGAGCGGGGGACAACGAUUCGAAAGGAUCGCUAAUACCGCAUAAGUUCCCAGAGACUCCGGUCUCUGGGAGGAAAGCUAGGCAGCAAUGUCCGGCACUCGAGGAGGAGCCUGCGUCGCAUCAGCUAGUUGGUGGGGUAACGGCCUACCAAGGCGAAGACGCGUAGCUGGUCU